GAGAAAUAAAGAAUGCUCAUUUCUCUCAUACUCAUAUUCGUUACCAUGACGAUACGAUUCAGCUAUUGUGGAAGUAGUCUAAAAUAGAUUGUUUGAAUGCGUUUUUAUUAUGUUUAUUUCUUUCGAAAACUUUUGAACUCUUACAAAAGCAUUAAUAAGAAUUGGAAGGUAUUGAAAACAAUAAAUGUAUAAAUUUUUUUAACAACUAAUAGGUACUAUUUGUAUUUUUACUCUAAGGUAUGUUCAAAUUUGUAGUUUUGAAUUUAGUUACGUGUCCCUGAAAAAUGCAAUUGUAAAAUAUUAAAUUCUUGAUAUAUUUUUUUAACUUUGGGGUUAUGUGCAAUGUGUUAUACAAUGUUUUUAUGAUUUUUAACGGCCUAAGUAUAUAACAAUUCAGAAAUUAUAAUUGAAAAUUCGAAGUCAAUAAUUAAUGUACUUUUUAUUAUAAUUUUUACCAAAAAUAUAUUAUAAAUAGAUAAGUGAUUCAAUUAUUUGAUUAUGUAAUUAGGAAUUUCCACUAUAUAAUUAUUAUAUGGUGGUGAUUCUCUCAUGACCUCAUGUUUCUCUCAAUAUUUAUAAUAAUUAAUAAAAUUGUCAAUGCAUAUUUAAUUAGUUUAUUACUUUUUCUAUAAAAAUCCUAGAAGAAACAAUUGAAUAUUUUAAUAAUUUAAUUUACUUUUUUUUUAAAUAUUCACGAAGUAGUAUAAGGAGACGUAACGCCCAUAGUAGAUUGUGGUGAAAGUGAGCCCCAAAAUCGUGUCCUAGAGUUUACGCAUUUUUCUAAUAAUGCGAUGAGGACGCCGCGCGUGGAGAAAUAGAGAAUUAAAAUUUAUCACGUGCUCGCAUGUGCUGACAAAAUGUCUUGAACCGGUGUUUCGCGCUUGCACUUUGUGCUUUGUUAAUGUUAUCAGUGAAAUGUCAUGUUUUAUAAAAGGAUGUGGAUCAAAAAUAACUACAAAAGAAGAAAAAAAUGGAGAAAAUCGAAGUUUUUUUCAGCUCGAACAGUAUUUAAUUUUUAUUAUUUAUUAUUGUUUUAUUAUUGUUAAUAUUAUAUCAUUAGAGUUUUAAUUAUUUCCGAAGUGUUUUUUAUUUUUUAAUGCUUUCCUAUUAUAGAAUGAAAGUUUGUUAACUUGGUCGAGUGCUAUUGUUGGCAUUGGAAAAAAACCAAAAUUGACAAAAAAGGAUAAGAUAUGUGAUUUGCACUUUGUGGAAUCAGAUAUUCUGAAAGAUUAUAUCACAAAGUUACCUGAUGGUAGUGUACACAAAACAAAACAAGGUAGAUAUGACCUUGUAAAAGGAGCAGUGCCGUCAAUAUUAAUAUUAUAUUAUUUACUUUCACUAAUAUUUAAUAUUUCACAAUAUUUAUUUUAUUAUUUAUUUAUUACACAAUAUUUUAUCAAAACCACUUCGUGAUCAAAACACUUUUGCUGUUAACUACAGUUGUUUACGCGAUAGCAGACGACAUAUUUUGAUUCCGAUUUAUCUCAGUAGAAGCGCUACAAGAGCAUUAUUCGAAAACCUUAGUAACUCUAGGACACGCAUUUGGGGUUGCUUUGAAUGCAUGGCGUUACGUCUCCUUAUACUACUUCGUGAAAAUAUUUUAACUCAAAAAGUUAUAGGUUAAUUGGCCUGUUCCAUAUACUUUUAAUUCCUUCAACACUUAAAAAAUAAUAUUUACAAUUUAAAAACCAGUAAUAAUAGUAUAUUAUGUGGCAAGCACGUAAAGUAGUACUUUUUAGGUGAUGAUGUAAUUUUCAGUACGAGCUGUCGUUAGUGCGACGUAGUCAACAACCACCGUCGGAUCAUUCGACGCCGUAUUAUACAUUGUCCUACGAAGCCAAUUACAUUUCGUUAGGCUAUAUCUUAUCCAGUGGAAAAGGUAGAAAAAAUUUAAUACUUUGAUUAAUUUACAAUAUAAGCAUAAUAUAUUUUUGGAAUAUUGAAGUUUUCAGUAAGAAAAAUUAGGAAAAUUGUUUUUUGAUCACAACAUUGAAAUUUUAUUCACAUACAUACAUAUUAAGUGACAAAUUUUAAAAUUUCACAAGUGAAGAGAUAAAAUACAUUCUCGUUAAGUUGCUGAUUAUUUAAAAAUAAAUUACUUUUUACCUACAACAAAAGAAAUGAAGCAAAACUCAUAC